rnacentral:lncRNA from 1 species
UGUGCCCGUAGGAUGUAACCAUGCCAUGGCUUGUUCAGUUUGCAUUUUGUCACUGUGUUGUUUCAGGAUUACACAGGGAACUGGCUAGCACAGUGCCUGACGUAAGCUUAUCAGCAGCGUGCAGAGUUAACAACUGCAAACAAAACUCCCAACAUCUCAGUAGCAUUUCCCAAUUUCAUGAAGAGUUCCGUGACAAACCCGUGACUACACACGGCGCUGCGUGAUGACAGGCUCAAAUCAGAGUGAGCAGGGCAGGAGCUAAGGCUUUCCAUGGGAGCUUCCCCCUUCCUUUUGCACUGCUUUCACCAGCUCCCAAGCCCGUAAAUAACCUGUUCGUGUUGCCCUGAUGCUGUGUGAGGUGAGGGGGGCGUUGUCCCUGCAAGCUGCAGCCACCAGGUGCCACAGGAGCUGCCCAGGGAGGGCACCCCUGCGGCUCUCCUGGCUGUAAAACCAGCCCCGGGACCGGACCACCGAGCCCUCCUGUCCCCCGGGGCUGUGCCCGUGUGAGGUGUGUGGGGUCCGGGUGAGGUGCGCGGGUCCCUGAGGCGACCCCGGCCACACGCCGCAAAAUGGCGGCGGGGCCGGGCCGGGCCGGGCCGUGCCGCCCGUUGCUAGGCAACCGGCGGCCUCCUCGCCUCGCCGGGCCCCGGCGGCCGCCCUACUCUCACCCGCGGUCGGCCGCGCGCUCCCAUUGGCUGCCCCCGCGCGGCGCUCGGCUCCCAUUGCUCCGCCGCCGCCCGUGCCGCGUCCUCAUUGGCGCGCCGCCCUCUGGCCACGCCGCGUCACUUUCUCACACCAUUCCCCCCCGCCUCCUCCGCCGGCCCCGGCGCUCUCGGUGGGCGGGCCCCGGGGAGGCGGCGGCGCUCGUGAUUGGCCGGCGGCAGCUGCCACUCAGCGCGCGGGACGGAGCCCGGGCCGCGGGGCCGUUUAAAGGGGCCGCGCGCCGGCUGCCGCCGUUUCCUCUGGCCGGGCGGGCGGCAGCGGGCACCGGGCAGCGGGUACCGGGCAGCGGCAGCCACAGCCACAGCCAUCGCCUCGCGCAGGAUGGUGAACGCUG